AUUGAACGCUGGCGGCAUGCCUUACACAUGCAAGUCGAACGGCAGCACGGGAGCAAUCCUGGUGGCGAGUGGCGAACGGGUGAGUAAUAUAUCGGAACGUGCCCAGUCGUGGGGAUAACGUAGCGAAAGCUACGCUAAUACCGCAUACGAUCUAUGGAUGAAAGCGGGGGAUCGCAAGACCUCGCGCGAUUGGAGCGGCUGAUAUCAGAUUAGGUAGUUGGUGAGGUAAAGGCUCACCAAGCCGACGAUCUGUAGCUGGUCUGAGAGGACGACCAGCCACACUGGGACUGAGACACGGCCCAGACUCCUACGGAGGCAGCAGUGGGGAAUUUUUGGGACAAUGGGCGCAAGCCUGAUCCAGCAAUGCCGCGUGCAGGAUGAAGGCCUCGGUUGUAACGUG
rnacentral:rRNA from 1 species